CGAAAGCCUGACGGAGCACGCCGCGUGAGGGAUGUAGGCCUCUGGGCUGUAAACCUCUUUUCUCAAGGAAGAAGAACUGACGGUACUUGAGGAAUAAGCCACGGCUAAUUCCGUGCCAGCAGCCGCGGUAACACGGGAGUGGCAAGCGUUAUCCGGAAUUAUUGGGCGUAAAGCGUCCGCAGGCGGCCAUACAAGUCUGUCGUUAAAGCGUGGAGCUUAACUCCAUUUGAGCGAUGGAAACUGUAAGGCUUGAGUGUGGUAGGGGCAGAGGGAAUUCCCGGUGUAGCGGUGAAAUGCGUAGAUAUCGGGAAGAACACCAGUGGCGAAGGCGCUCUGCUGGGCCAUAACUGACGCUCAUGGACGAAAGCCAGGGGAGCG
rnacentral:rRNA from 1 species